rnacentral:tRNA from 2 species
GGUCUCGUAGCUCAGCGGGAGAGCGCCGCGCCUACAACGCGGAUGUCGGGGGUUCGAAACCCUCCGGGACCACCA